GGAAGAGACCACAAGGGCCACCAGUUGAACCUGGCCAUGCAGGAACUCACAAUCAAAGCACUCCUGAAUCCAACAGUUGGCCAUCCAGCCUCUGUUUAAAAACCUCUGCUUUAUCAUCUCUUCUUCCAGUUAAAUGUACCCAGUUCCUUAAAUCAUUCCUCAUAGGAUUCAUGUGCUACAAAAGCAAUUUCAAAUGGAGAUGGACUUCUGAACCAACUUGUCCUGUGAGGGUGGAAGAAGCAGUAGAUAUAAUUUGAAGUAGAGAAAGAAACAAGAAGGAAAAGAGUAGGAAGAGAAGUGCAAUAGAGAUGAAAAUAAUUAUUCCAGCCUAGAAGAACAAACUCAGUAUAAAUCUGAGUACAACUGGAACCUGAAUAGGAUUUAAAAAAAUCCAAACAAAUCUAUAUGUUAUUUUAAUGAUGUACAUGUUUAUAUAAUGGAAUUUUAAACAAGCCCAUUUGAAUUUCUUGGAACAAAUGUUUGUAUCACUGGUAUCCACAAAAUCAGAGAAGAUGACUUCGCAUGAAGUAAUAUUGCAUCGUUUAUCUAUCAUUCUUAUGCAUGAAGGGAUUUUUAUGAUGCCAGUUGAAGCCUCUGGCAGCAAUUGGUCAGCUACUCCAAUGUAAUUGAAGCACAUGAUAAGAUUCAGGAAGCCCAGGAGAGAAGGAGAAAACAAGGGCUCUAUAUAGAAGAAACAGAAGUUCAGAAAAACAAGAGAAAAUGGGAUGGACCAGAAGUAUGCCUAGGCAAGCACUGAAGAGGAUAGCAGCUGAAUUGCAUUUGUGGUAUUACUGCUCUGGUUUAGACUAUAAAUGUAUAAGCAACAGCAAGAAUGAGUGGAGUAUUCCAUUCAGAGGGCCCAAGUAAAGUAAGAAAUAUAAUAACAUGAAACAUACCCAUGAGCUUAGUCAGGAAAGGAGUUGUAUCAAUUUGGAAGCGAUUUUAUGUGUACUGGUAAAUUUUCUUUAUGUUCCUUUCUUCCUCCUAAUCAGAGCUCAUGACAACUCCCAACAAUACAGUAAAAUCCUACAACUGUACCACAUAUAGCUAUGGUAAUACAGUAGUAGGACUAUUGCAUGGUGUAGUAGUGCCAUGAAAUCCACUGGGUGGCCUUGGGCAAGUCACAUGCAAAGGCAAACCUCUGAACAAAUCUUGUCAAGAAAACUCCAUGAUAUGUUCGUCUUGGGUUGCCAUGAGUCGGAAAUGACUUGAAGGCACAAAACAACAAUAACUUCUUCAAUGAUGACAUAACAAUUUCCUCAUGGCUAAAAUAAAUAUAAUGGUCCAGAACAGCCUAUUUCAACAAUCUUGUGAUUUUGGUAGAUUCUGCAUGGAUAAUAAUGUUUAGUAUAUUGAUGAGUAAAGGCAACAGUGCUAAAGGCAAGUUCUGCCUCUGCAGCAGAAAUUCAUUGACUUAAUCUACCUCCAUACAUAUCAGUAAGCAGUUCACACUAUUUGGAGACUAAUUAGCAAACAAUGAAAGAGUAGUCUUCUAAGUCAGUGGAAUUAAUGUAUGGAUCCCCUUUUAGUUUAAUUUCUUGUUAUUAAAUAAUGGCAGUUAAUAAAUUUGUAAGCAAGGGAAUUCCCCCUUGUACGUACCAGUACAACAUCUUAGUGGAGGAAAAAGAGAAGACCACUAGGAAAUGGAUUUGUAUCCUAUUCAAAAUUUCCAUGUCUGACACCCCCCCCCCCAAUUUUCUUGAUCUGGAUGUUCAGUAAUGGCAGCUCAUGAGCAACCCUCUCUCUGAUGCCUUCUUUCUGUCAAAGGAAUAAGGAUUCAUUAGCACUUCCAAGUCUAACUGGUUUAUUCUAGCAUAAGCUUUGAUGGACUUCAGCCCAUUUGAUCAAAUGCAUCAGAUGAACUGGACUGAAGCCCACAGAAGCUUAAGAUGGAAUAAAUGAGUUAAUCUAAAUAAUGCCACUUAUUUGAUUACUUUAUGCCCUUUUAUGCUGAAACAGACUACCAUAGAUAAUUUUUGCAUAUUUUCUAUCAAAGGCUAUUGCUAAUUGUUUCCAGCACUUUACUAAUGACCUACUAUUUAAAGAUCCCAAGGCUUUUGUUAUAGGAGUGGGAAACCUGUGGCCUCAGUCUAAUUAAGGUGAGGCAUCUCUCCUUUCUGUUCAGACACUGGUGAUUCAGAUUUUCUCCUUUGGCAGUCCAGUAGGUGAGGAGGGGCAGGGAGUGAUAGAGAGAAAAGGGAUGUCCCAAACCUAUGCCAGCACACAUACUAGGAAGCUCUCUAAGAAAAUGUGGCACUCACCCCAAACAAAUAUGCAUCUACAUCUUUCCCCUACUCCUAGUUUAGAACAUAGACAUGGAUAGAGAACAUUUCUCCUUCAUCUGUUAGAUACUAGUAUCACAGAUACUAGAGUGGGACCACGUAUUACAGUUAAUCAGUUUUUCCACAGUGAAAUUGGAUAGGACCUUGAUAUUACAUAUGUAAGAAGUAAAUGUAUCUGCCACAAUCCAGGGUGUGAAUCAAUCUCACUUUCUUCUAUCCAAAAACUAGAAACUUACACAGGGCUCAUACACACAGGAACAAAAGCAUCAGCUGAAAUGUGUUAUCUAAGAAAUUGUGGAGCACCAUUCUUGGAUAGUAUGAAAAUUGCAAUCCUUGCAUACUUUUUAGAUAACUGUUUUGUUGCGGGGGGUUUGAAUGAAAUUGUAUAUAAUUUAUUUAUAUGUAUGGUCCUGAAACUCCUUAGAUUAAGCUUUUCCCAGUAUGAAGGUAAAAUGAUAGAAAAAUCUUUAUCUGCUGAAUUCUGGCUGCCACGUAGCUGUGAAAGGCAAAAGAAUCCUGCUACAAAGAAAAAAUGAAUCCCUGGUCAGGGGCAUCAUUAGGGUGUGGGCCAUAUCAGGUGACACCGCUGGUCCCUAAACAUCUGUCUUUUGGCAGAAAUGGGCUGUGCUGUUCGCCUGCAUCCCUUUAAAACAAUGGAGCUCAGUAGAAGAGAUGGGGUAAGUGGGUAGCAAGGGGAGCCCUCAAGUUGUUUUAAAACAUUACAUUGUAACUUUUAAAUUUUAAUUUUAAAAUAUGGUUUUUUUAAAAAACAUUCUUU